GACAUAUAUUUUCUGUUACACUGUUGCCUUAGCGCUAAGAUUUCUUUGAUUUUCUGCUGUCAGCUUUACCACCCAGUGGAGAUGUCCUCAAGCGUUCACCAUUGCUGCCUUUCCUGCUAAGAAAAUAGAAUUUGCAUGUGUUUCAAUACUUUCUGGAAUCCUACCUUCCAUAUGCAGUCUAGGUCAGUAAAAUGGUGACUUUUGCCUACCAUACUGACCUAUGAUGCUGGAAACUGCAAGAGACAACUUUGUUGCAUAACAACUUGUAAAAAACUACUUCCACUGAGACAAAGAGUAUCUAGAAUUAUGUGACAUCUAGGACACGUACCAAGGUUCAGUGGUGGAAAAUUUGGCAUGGGAUAUCUGGCACAGCAAAUACACAUCUGCUUGUUAAGGUUAAAACUGUCUAUUUUUGAAAUGGUAAAGACAAGGAGUGGACACUUCUUCCUGACAUUUAAAUAAGGAUGUGUCACAGAAGAGGCAAGAACAGAAAAUUCCAACAAAGACAAAAGAAAUAAACAUCGUAAAUAUGUUGUGCUCUUUAAUGUUGGCAUCGUUUUCAGACUUGUGUUAGGUGAAAAUGAAUGUUUUUGAUCUUCUAUCAAAGGUUUACCUUGAAAAUACAGAUGAAAGAUAAACAUCAUUAGUCCACUCUGAUCUCACUUCAGUGCUCUUUUUUUCCAUGUGCCCAUCAGAUUGUCUCAUUGUUUUUGAUUUUUUUUUAAAUCUGAUUUUCUGUUUAUCUGAAUAGCUGCUAAAUUCUUUGAUCUAUUUUUGUUGGACUUGCAAGGAACUUCAGAACUUCUGUGAAAGCAAGACAGAGAGAAGCAAUGUGUUUCACCUCUACUUUUUGUUGCUUCCAUUUGGAUAUUGGGAAGUCUUUGUGUAGAGAAUAAAUGAUAUAAGGUAUAGGGUAGUGAAAUCUCAUUUAAAAUAAAU
ensembl:lncRNA